AAGGGUGCUCCAUCACGUAACUUUAUCUGUUCUGAAGAUUGGAAAAUCCAGGAUGCAGUGGAUUUUCAAAGAGCCCAUCUGUGUUGUGUUUCAGCUCUCAGUCGCUGGCCCCUCUAUCCUCAGUGAAAACUAAAUCUCCAUGAUGUGCUAGACGGCACGGGCUGGAUUAUUUGUAUUACAGCAGACUAAAUUCAGAGCUGAGAACAGGGCCGCCUUCUGCAGCUCAGCGAAACUGUACGUGGAAAAUUUCACAAGCUCAGCUGGUUCUUGGGGACAGCAAAUCUCCGGUAUCCUGAUGAUCAUCUGGAAAGAGCAGUGGACCAUGAGGAAACCCAGCUCAGGAGGUGAACAAAGACUUGAAGGACUUGGAGGGGUUGCCGUGCAAACACAGAGGGGAGGAACAUCCCGAGCAGAGAAGUCAAUGCAAGUAUCCUAAAACCAUAGAAAGUUCAUAAAGGGAAGAAGAAUGGGAGAGACAACAGGAUUUGAACUCCAUUUGUGUGUAUUGGCACCUGCAACAUUAUCUUUUCUAAACACCACAAAAGAGAUUUCCUACACUACUCCAACCAGGAAACUUCAUUAUGAUGUCUCUGAGGAGCUUGAGAAGAAAUGAUGUUUGUCACUGCAUCAGCACUCUAACAACCUCUAAAUAGGUGGUUCACUGACUAAUUUGAACCACAAUUUCAUCGGAGUCUUACAGCAGAGUUUGGAUAAAAUGGUAAUUGAUCUUAAAUCUGUGCAUGUUCUAAACGCAAGUCUGACUUUACCACAGAGGCAGAGCAGGUGGCCACCCUCCAAACACAAAACAUUACUGGGAACGAAAUGCAAAAUGACCGGUGUGUGAGUCAAAGACUGGGAUUUGGAAAGAGUAGGCAAUUUACAGUUUGCCUAGGGUAAGCAAAAAUUCCACAGUCAACUGCUGACUACAUGGAUUAGCAAAUUCAAACAUUUUCAGGUUAGGAAGAGAGAAGAAUUUGCAAAUGAACUGACAAUGGAUUUAACAGGUUUUAGCCUGAGGUCGCUUAAAAUUUUGAACACCACUUGCUUAGGAAACGGGGGCAGUCUGGAAGCAAGCACUAGUACUGGAUCAGCUUUGCUAAAACUUACAGACCCUUGGGUUCACUGACUGUCCAAAUGAUUUUUGACUAUUUCCGCGUAUUUCUAAUUGGGUCACAAAAAUCAGCACACUUUCUCUAAGAAAACACUGUAUACACACAACAGGUUCACACAAAUCAAAUAUUCUGUUUUCUGUCUUCGGUUGUUUAAAAUAUUGAAAUAUGCCAUACUCAUGACACAAUGGAAAUAUUCAAGCUGCAAGGUGAAACACAUUCAAAUAUGGCUUAAAAUGUCUAUUCACUGAAAAUGUAUAUUUCACCCAGAAAUAUAUCCAUUCAAAUAUUAAUAAAACAAACUGGAUGUUCAGCAUUAUGUCUGAGAGGCUUUUUUUGGCAGCCAUAAACUAUACACUGAUCACUUUUGCACUAAUAUUAUGAAUGAACAUUCUGCUCAAGUGAUUCGAUGAGGAAAGACUCCAGUGCAGUUUUGUCUUGACUAAACUUGGGUCACUCUCCAGAAGAACAUGAUAUGUACUUUUCACCUCUAAAGCCAGGGAACCACAUGCUGGCCCACACAUGGCCAGAGCUGCAAGAUCUGGUAAAAA
rnacentral:lncRNA from 1 species